CCCGCGUUAGAUUAGAUAGUUGGUGGGGUAAUGGCCUACCAAGUCUACGAUCUAUAGCUGGUUUUAGAGGAUGAUCAGCAACACUGGGACUGAGACACGGCCCAGACUCCUACGGGAGGCAGCAGUGGGGAAUCUUAGACAAUGGGCGCAAGCCUGAUCUAGCCAUGCCGCGUGUGUGAUGAAGGUCUUAGGAUCGUAAAGCACUUUCGCCAGGGAUGAUAAUGACAGUACCUGGUAAAGAAACCCCGAUGAUCCCACCC
rnacentral:rRNA from 1 species